UACAGAGGGUGCAAGCGUUGUUCGGAAUUAUUGGGCGUAAAGCGCGUGUAGGCGGCUACGUAAGUUGGGUGUGAAAGCCCUCGGCUUAACCGAGGAAGUGCGCCCAAAACUGCGAGGCUUGAGUACCGGAGAGGAUGGCGGAAUUCCCGGUGUAGAGGUGAAAUUCGUAGAUAUCGGGAGGAACACCAGCGGCGAAGGCGGCCAUCUGGACGGAUACUGACGCUGAGACGCGAAAGCGUGGGGAGCAAACAGGAUUAGAUACCCUGGUAGUCCACGCCGUAAACGAUGAGCGCUAGGUGUUGUGGGUGUUGACCCCCGCAGUGCCGCAGCUAACGCAUUAAGCGCUCCGCCUGGGAAGUACGGCCGCAAGGCUAAA
rnacentral:rRNA from 1 species